rnacentral:tRNA from 1 species
UCCUCUGUUAGUUCAGUCGGUAGAACGGCGGACUGUUAAUCCGUAUGUCACUGGUUCGAGUCCAGUCAGAGGAGCCA